rnacentral:rRNA from 1 species
UACGGAGGGUGCGAGCGUUGUCCGGAAUCAUUGGGCGUAAAGAGCUCGUAGGCGGUUUGGUAAGUCUGGUGUGAAAUCUCCACGCUCAACGUGGAGGGGCCACCCGAUACUGCCAUGACUGGAGUCCGAUAGAGGAGUGUGGAAUUCCCGGUGUAGCGGUGAAAUGCGUAGAGAUCGGGAGGAACACCAGUGGCGAAGGCGGCUACCUGGACCAGCACUGACACUGAGGCACGAAAGCGUGGGGAGCAAACAGGG